rnacentral:rRNA from 1 species
CUACGGGGGGCUGCAGUAAGGAAUAUUGGACAAUGGAGGAAACUCUGAUCCAGCCAUGCCGCGUGAGUGAUGAAGGCCUUCGGGUUGUAAAGCUCUUUUAGGUGUGACGAUGAUGACGGUAACACCAGAAAAAGCCCCGGCUAACUUCGUGCCAGCAGCCGCGGUAAUACGAAGGGGGCGAGCGUUGUUCGGAAUCACUGGGCUUAAAGCGUACGUAGGCGGAUUAACAAGUCAGAAGUGAAAGCCCAGGGCUUAACCCUGGAAUUGCUUUUGAAACUGUUAGUCUGGAAUCCGGUAGAGGUUGGCGGAACUCCGAGUGUAGAGGUGAAAUUCGCAGAUAUUCGGAAGAACACCAGUGGCGAAGGCGGCCAACUGGACCGGUAUUGACGCUGAGGUACGAAAGCGUGGGUAGCAAACAGGAUUAGAUACCCUCGUAGUC